CUUACAAGCGCGCCCUUUCUGUGGCACCAAGGGGGUCAAGCUUCCUUGUCAAGGGUCCACCCUGUCCUGCCUGGAUAUGGUUCCCCAGCAAGAGCUGGGUCCAGAUGUCAUAAAGCCUGUUGCUGUCCCAGAGAACCGGGAAGUAUCAAGUGGUUUACAGAGCGAAAAAUAUUUUAAAGUUCACCUUUAAGGAAUAACUGAGCUCUUUUUGCACAGCAAUCAGAAAGUAAAUAAACUAAGAAGGACAGUCCAGUAGGAAUAAGCUGUAGAAGGCCAAGGAAUGGCCGCUUGAUAGGUGAUGGCCCAUCAGCUUUGACACCUGGGUAGAAGCGUCAGCUUGUCCUUUGACUUUGAGAAAUAGGUUUAACCACUUCCUAGACUUGUCUGUGAAAGUUGGAGGUACCUGGGUUGUGAGAAGAAGGUGCCAUUCAUUCCUGUGCAGAGUCCACGCAAAACUCAUUCUGCACACUUAUGCUCCAUGAUCCCACACAGAGACUAACAAAGAGAAGGAACAAUACGGCGCCAACACGGCCCUGCCCCUCAGCAGUGGCAAAGCAUGCUUCAAGUGCAGGAUCUGCUUAAAAGGAUACUCAGUCAGGGAGAGAAAAAGGAAAAGGACAACAGUUAGUAUGCUCAGGCAUGAACAUAGCACUAGCAUGUAUUCCUGGGAUACCUGGAAAUGAAAUGGCAGGAAAUAAAGCCUUUUAAGAACUAUCAAGUUUUGAAACUGGAGUAAAAUGACCCAGAGUCCCAGAGGUUUGCUUGCAGAAAUUCUUAUGAGGCACCGCACAGUGUACAAAAAGUGUAAGACUAGACCUCUUUCUGUAAAGAAUUAGCUGAGCUGGAGGAUAAAAGCUACUUCUGCAGUUUUACUGUUGAACUUUUCUUAAUGGAAGGGACUGGAUUUAGGGUUUGAGAAUACUUCUGAAGAUAAAACAUGCUUGGGUCUAAAGAGCUUACUCUUAUGUGCCUGCUGAGGAAGCACUUGGAUGAUAGCUUGUGAUUUAGCAAACUAUGUGCUAUUUAACAGCAAAUUUCAGUUACUUAAUAUAAGCUAAGAGGAAGGGUCUGACUGAACAGUUAUAAUCAGAAAUA